UUUACAGUGCAAAAUAAAGCAUGUGUUGGACCGCUGAAAAUGUAAAUGUUGCUCUGUUAUUUUCAAACAUAAAAUUAUAUUUACAGUAUGGAUCCUCUGCAACAAACACACAGGGCAGGGAAGAUGUGCUGAUUGGUGUUUCUAUACAAUUAAUCCCAUACGGGGAAUUAACUUUCAAAUACUAAUGAAGUGACUUUUUGUCUCAGUUAUAAAAUAUACUGAGC